rnacentral:rRNA from 1 species
CGUUUUUUGCGGGAAUCCAGUUUUCAGUAUGAGUUUGUGAGGGACACAAAUUGAGGUAAAUCCAACCUGAUAACAAAAAUAUAUAGCAUCAAAUCCAGCAACGUGUGCAUGUCCGGAGAACAAAUGCAUGCGUACACUAACACGUCUGUGUGAUGAACUUGGAGAUAUUUACCUCGUGAAGAUCCAAACCCAAUCAAUUGUAAACCAGUCGACACCUGUGCACACUAUCUCCCAAACCAGCCGCUUUGCUCGUCGUGCUUGUGCUCCACGUGUCGUACACGUUCGCUCGCGGAGUCAAUCUCACCAGUUUUCUCUUCGCUAGCAGGUCGUGUCCAUCUCCCCCAAUUUCUCCCUCUUUCUUGGCACCACGGCUCUGCUUCUUCCCCUGCCUACAGCGCGGGACUGGGUCCGGAGAGGAGAUUUCUUUAUCCCGUACGGAGUGCGCAUGCGGCAGAGGGAAGGCAAGGACGGUCGCUUUAGCGCCGUCCUCGUUGCGGCGGUUCUUCGGUUGUUGGCAGCGGCGGCAUAGGAGACGGGGAGGCGCUAAUGUCUGUCAAGGCGGGCUUCGGCAACGCCGCUAACACGCUCGUCGACUGGGACGGCGGCCGCGACCACUGCGCCUGGCAGGGGUCGUCGCCUGUGACACCAACUCCUUCGCCGUCCUUCGACUGAUGCAGUGGAGAUUAUUGACUAAAGAAGGGGAUCUUCAGGCUUUCGACGACAUGCUAUCCAAGAUGAAAUCUACGGCGUCUUCCCUUCUUCGGCGAUCCUCGAGGACGGCUUCCUAAUCGUCUUUUUGGUGUUUUCUAGUGAUAUGCUGGCCUGCGUGCCAUAUGUGGUUGGUGCCCAUGUAAUGCUACUUAUGUUCCCUGAUCGUUAAACUUGUUUGGGUCUCGAUCCCAGGUGGUGUAACUCUGCCUGGUGGCUUUAUUUAUAAAGUCGGGCUACUGCCUUUUCUCUAAAAAAGAUACAUCCCCUUUUAUUCAUUUUGAUGACAAGUAUUUUCGGACGGAGGGAG